rnacentral:lncRNA from 1 species
GAUUGAUGUUCCAAAUCUGCAGGUGAUAAAGCUGAUGCAGAGCUUCAAGUCCAGGGAGUACGUGCGCGAGACAUUUGCUUGGAUGCAUUAUUACUGGUUCCUCACCAACGAUGGAAUUGAGUUCCUCAGAACAUACCUCAACCUUCCCUCGGAAAUCGUACCCGCCACUCUUAAGAAGCAGGCCAAGCCCGCCGGAAGACCAUUCGGUGGCCCACCCGGUGAUCGCCCAAGGUAAUAUGCCGUUGUCUUUCUCGCUAUAUCUUCGAAUUGUUAUAUUGCUGUGUUUGAUUUGACUUUUGUGUGAUUUUCUUUGAACAGGGGCCCACCUCGCUUUGAGGGAGAGAGGAGAUUCGGUGGUGAUAGAGAUGGAUACCGUGGGGGUCCCCGGGGACCUGGUGGUGACUUUGGGGAGAAAGGUGGAGCUCCUGCUGACUACAGACCUUCAUUUGGGGUAACUUAUUGCAACCUAUCAAUCAUCAUUAUGUUUCUAAUGGUUUAUUUAUUUCCUAUUUUCAAAUAUCUUUAUUCUAUAUCUUUUACUUUUUUUUUACGGUUGUCCAUGGUUCUAUGUUGGAUUUCUAUAUUAGCCAUACCGUCAUCACGUUCCACCUAAAUUAGAGCGAAAUUUAGUUUUAGAUACUGAAAGAGAUACAUAUAGCACUGGAACGAGAAAAUAGAGGGAAGAUUAGUAUUAGAAACAAUGAAAUACUUUCAUAUUUUCCGAUUCUUCAAAGUGGAUCCUUCAUUUUACUCUGAAAAGAGAAUCUGUGGUUUGUAUUUUUAUACCCCAAUUGAUGUAAGAGACUUGUACAUUAACCAUCUGACGAUGAUACCGUUAUCUGAGUGAAUUGAUGACUUGAUGGGUAAGCAUUCUAGGAUGAACAUAUUCGGUUGAAUAAUAUGUUAUGUUGCCAAUUUUCAUAGUGUAUCAAUUUGUUCCUGGGUUUCCCAAUUUUUGUAGCUUUCUUUAUCCAAUCAUUACGAUUAGUAGGUAGUCAUUUUUUUGAUUACUUUUAUAGUCAGGAACCUACUGUGUUGCUUCUGGCUUUUUUUAUAAUUCAUGCUGGUUGAGUUAGGCCUCUUAUCUAUACUUCCUUUAAAUUGCCGUUCUAUCUAAACUCAUAUCCGUUUGAAGUUGCAAGUUUAAUUGGAUGAUUUGAGACAAUCUCUCAUUUAUUUUUUGCUCUAAUUCUUAAUUCUGUGAAGCGGUAGGGUCGUGAUUCUGAUAACAAAUUCGUAGCGGCUGUUCUUAUCUGGGUUUGCUUAGUUUUUAUUCCAAAUCUGAAAUGUAUGCUUGACUCUUUUUUCAGGGUCCCGGUGGAAGGCCUGGUUUCGGUCGAGGUGCUGGUGGUUAUGGGGCACCAACAAGUUCAAACACUCCUUAAAUAUGAUUGAUUUGUGCUCAAGGUUUUACAGUUUUGGCUGUCAUUCGAGUUAAUAGUAGCACCCCUCGUUCCAAAGUAGUUUGAUCUGGCUGACAAUUUACUUAAGUUAAUUAUACAGUGAAAAUUUUGAAUUGAAUAUUUUUGCCCUGAAUUUGUGUUUGAGGUGUGAUGCUUUGGGUAGUGAGAAUGGGCUGUUGUAAA